AGAGAGAGACAUGCGCGCAUAUCAAUAAGCGGAGGAAAAGAAACUAACAAGGAUUCCCUUAGUAACGGCGAGUGAAGCGGGAAGAGCUCAAAUUUGAAAUCUUCAAGGUUUUACCUUGACGAAUUGUAGUUUAAAGAAGUGUCUUCUGCUGGAGUUUUGGUAAAAGUUCUUUGGAAUAGGACAUCAUAGAGGGUGAGAAUCCCGUAUUUGACCAUUAUUUCCAGCUUUGUGAUACACUUUCAAAGAGUCGGAUUGUUUGGGAAAUGCAGUCCAAAAUGGGUGGUAAAUUUCAUCUAAAGCUAAAUAUUGGCGAGAGACCGAUAGCGAACAAGUACCGUGAGGGAAAGAUGAAAAGAACUUUGAAAAGAGAGUUAAACAGUACGUGAAAUUGUCAAAAGGGAAGCGUUUGACACCAGUGUUGUUUUCUCGAAAAUCAAUUAAAAAUGGCUCGAUUUUGUAUUGUUGAGACCUUAAAAGCUCACUGUACAUUUUUCGUGUCUUUUUUAAUGCACUUUUCGUUUAACAAGUCAACAUCAGUUUCUUUUGUUGUAAAAGGGUACAUUGGAAGGUGGCUUUCUUUUCGGAGAAAGUGUUUAUAGCCUUUGGCCUCUGCAAUCGGAGAGACUGAGGUCUGCAGCGUAGACUCUUCGGGGUUAGAUACAUUUGUGCUAAGUUAUAGCUUUUUAUAGACAACUUGUUGACUAUAAUUAGUCUUGUAGCUUACUCGCUUAUGCUAUUUUACCUACGCUUAGGAUGUUGAAGUCAUCGUAUCGCG
rnacentral:rRNA from 1 species